rnacentral:lncRNA from 1 species
CCGCCGCGAUCCCUGCGCACCACGGCCCUGCCCGCCACGGGGCGAGCCCGAUAAGAGGGCUGUGGACGUUCGGGUCUAGUUGGGAGAGACAGGGGUCCCUGACUCUUGAGCGGUCAGUCAUUUCCUCCCCAGUCCUUGUGGGUGACGUGGCUACGGUUUGGAGCAGCAAGCCCCCUCCCCGAACUAAAGGGCCUCUCCAAAGGUUAAGCCAGGGCAGUCAUUGAGGUCAAAACCAAUAUGUAGUUUCUUGACUGCAGGUGCCUGCACGACUCCCAGAAAGUCGCGUCUCCCCUAACCCCCAUGCCCAGGACCUGAGGACAAAGGUCUAGCGAUUGUCCAUCCCCUCCCCCAGUGAGGACAGCCGGGAAAGACCUGCCUUUGUUGUGUACAGGUGGUAUCUCACUGUGUUAUCCAGACUGGACUCAAAUUUCUGGGCUCCAAUGGUCCUCUCACCUCAGCCUCCCAAGUAGUCAGGACUACAGGUAACUUGUGUGCCGUGAUAGCACAGCCAAUACUUUGGAGACUUGAGCAAAUGGUGGAGGGAAAUGCCAAUCAAUAAUAUUGAUGAUAAAUGUUUACCAGAUGUCUGAUCAAUCAAUAAUGAAGCAAAACAGAAACAGGAACAAAAUGAAACAAAAAUUAAGGCCUUAUAGCAUUGCUCUGUUGUGUGUUGAAUUGAAAUCCUAAACCCUGUGGCUGUGACUUUAUUUGGAAAUAGGAUCCUUGGAGACAUGAUCAAGUUAAGAACUCCAUGGCAAUGUUUUGAGGAUUAAAGAGGAGAGUGAUGACUAUCCAAACGUCAGAGAACGCAACUAUGAGACUAGAGACACUGGAAAACUAAAAAAGUAACGGGCCUUUGCUGACUCAGGGAGAUGAUUUCCCAAGAGGGAAGAAAACUGGAACCUGAGAAAUAAGUGAUUUAGUAAUGUGGCUGCUAAAAUACGGAAAAACUAGAAUGAAUGGCUUACACAUUUUUGAAAUGAAGUUAGAAGAGGGUUAUACUGUGAAGAAGAAUGAAAAAGCCAAACAUUUCAUUCAGGUAAGCAUAUCACAUAGGAGAAACUCUAGGUGACUUUGGUUUGGCAGUGAGUUUUUAGAUACAACACCAAAGCACAAUCCAUAAAAGAAAAGAAAGAUAGAUAAGUUGGACUUCAUUAAAAUGAA